UGGAAAAGGAGCAAACAGUGUGGUAUCUAUGUCUCACCAUCACUUCAAGCAUCAUGGCUAUGGAGAAAAGAAUGUUUCAUUACAUAUGCACAAUUAUAGUGGACGAAAUAAGAAAAGUUGUAAUAAGCUAUGGAAUGUGGCUUGUUAUGAUGGGUCUACAUGAUGAAUUGGAGUACAUUGAACCUGAUGGAGGCAGGGCAUACAGAAUUCAGUCCUGAACAUGUUUAGAAUGUCUUCUGCAUGACCUGGUACAGUAUUCUUGGAAUAUAACUUCAACACAGAGACGGAUAUUAAUAUUUUAGGCAGGGGGUUGGCAUGACAGGCAAAUUCACCAGCCGUAUUACCAUUCCUGAGCUUGAUGCCAGUCGACCGUGGUACCUGAAUAAUGAAAUAGCGCCCCUUUGCCGCAACAGCAAUGUAUGCUCAAAACCAGCAGUGCCAAAGCUGUUAAAAUUGAGAACUGCAGUCAUUUAAAACGAAGAAUGAAUGGAAAAUAGUGUUUAACAUAUAAAAUAAUAGAGAGAAAAAGCUCCGAAAGUUUAAUUAAUUUGGAAGUGUUUUUGAUUUUUAGCUCGACUAUUCGAAGAAUAGUCUAGCUAUUCUACUCACCCUGGCGUCGGCGUCGGCGUCGGCGUCACACCUUGGUUAAGUUUUUGCAUGCAAGUACAUACAGCUAUCAUUUAAAGGCAUAUAGCUUUGAAACUUAUUUAUUCUUUUUCUAGGUCAAUUACCAACCUCACUGGGUCAAGUUCCAUAACUCUAACAUGUAUUUUGAGCAAAUUAUGCCCCCUUUUGGACUUAGAAAAUUCUGGUUAAAGUUUUACAUGCAAGUUACUCCAAAACUAAUGCAGAUAUUAAAUUGAAACUUCACAUGUGUCUUCGGGGUUAUAAAACUAGUUGAUAGAAUCAAGUCCCAUAACUCUGACAUGUAUUUUGGGCAAAUUAUGCCCCCUUUUGUACUUAGAAAAUCCUGGUUAAAGUUUUGCGUGCAAGUACAUACAGCUAUUACCAAAAGGCAUAUAGCUUUGAAACUUAUUUAUUCUUUUUCUAGGUCAGUUACCAACCUCACUGGGUCAAGUUCCAUAACUCUUAAUAUGUAUUUUAAGCAAAUUAUUCCCCCUUUUGGACUUAGAAAAUUCUGGUUAAAGUUUUACAUGCAAGUUACUAUCUCCAAAACUAAUGCAGAUAUGGAAUUGAAACUUACCAUGUUUCUUCGGGGUUAUUAAACUAGUUGAUAGCAUCAAGUCCCAUAACUCUGAUAUGCAUUUUGGUCAAAUUAUGUCCCGUUUCGAACUUAAAACUCUUUUGAUAUUUAACAUUUUGGGUAAUAAUUUCCUGCUUCUGUGACAAUAUUUCGAAUAGUCGAGCUUGGCUGUCUUACGGACAGCUCUUGUUUGAAGAUGUACUAGACCCAAAUUCCAUAUAUCUGAA